AUUGAACGCUGGCGGCAUGCCUUACACAUGCAAGUCGAACGGCAGCACGGGAGCAAUCCUGGUGGCGAGUGGCGAACGGGUGAGUAAUGUAUCGGAACGUACCAUGGAGUGGGGGAUAACGUAGCGAAAGUUACGCUAAUACCGCAUAUACCCUGAGGGGGAAAGCAGGGGAUCGCAAGACCUUGUGCUCUUUGAGCGGCCGAUAUCAGAUUAGCUAGUUGGUGAGGUAAAGGCUCACCAAGGCGACGAUCUAUAGCGGGUCUGAGAGGAUGAUCGGCCACAAUGGAACUGCGACACGGACCAGAUUCCUACGGGAGGCAUCAGUGGGGAAUUGUGUACAAUGGGGGCAACCCUGAUCCAGCCAUACCGCGUGGGUGAAGAACGCCUUCGGGUUGUAAAGCUCUUUCGGCCGGGAGGAAAUCGCAUCAGCUAAUACCUGGUGUGGAUGACAGUACCGGAAUAAGAAGCACCGGCUAACUACGUGCCAGCAGCCGCCGUAACAC
rnacentral:rRNA from 1 species